ACCGUCGUAUGAUGCGAUGGGGGGACGGAUCGCGGAAGGUUGUCCAACUGUUGGAAUAGUUGGUUUUUGGCUCAUAGAAGGCACUUAGGCAAAUCCGGGUGCGCAAUUCAAGGGGUUGAGACGAGUGCACUUGUGCACGAAGCAAUCGGAAGUGGUUCCAAGAAAAGCCUCUAAGCUUCAGUCAUACGAGACCGUACCGCAAACCGACACAGGUGGGCGAGAUGAGUAUUCUAAGGCGCUUGAGAGAACUCGGGAGAAGGAA
rnacentral:rRNA from 1 species